GGGUCAAAGGUGGUGAAACAUUUCUUCAGACGAAGAUCUAUCAUUGUCCUUCCAGUCCACAGUUCAACGGCACUAAAAGGCCACAGGACUGGUAGACAAGUCAAGCGGGAGCAAAGCAAGACAGAAGCAGUUAUCAACAGAACGGGAAGGCCGAGGAGAUGCUCAAUCCAUUGACAACAAGAAAACUCAAGACUUAUAAGGAACAGUGUUGGAAAGGUGACUCAGCUCAUCAGUCCCCACAUAGCAGCUCCUAACUGUCCAUGGCUGCAGUCCUGGGGCAUCUGACACCCUCUUUCUGGCUUCACAGGCACCAGCACACAAGAGGUAUACAGACAGACAGACAAGACACACAUACAUACAAAAUAAUAAAAACAUAAAUCAAUACAUCCCAAAAA